AAUUUACAGAGUAUGGUGCUGCCGUACUACUUUUGUUAAUGAUAACGUUCACACUAGUAGGGUAGCUUGUGUGUUUGAUGCCACUGCAUACUGGGAGUGACCGCACUUGGACAAAAGCCAUAGGAUGGUUAGUGUCGCCACAAGUACCAAUGAAGCUUACGUUGUCAACGUCACAAAUAGUGAACCCAGCAUAGAGACGUAUUACAUCACAGCAUUUUACGUUUACGUUGCUGACGUCAAUAGGAUUAGGAAACGUGUCACCAAAUACUAACGCCGAGAAAAUAUUCUCAACAUUUGCUGUUCUGCUUGGUUGUAAAGAUGAUAUAUUUUGCGGUGAUCACGGUGACCUAGAAUGCACGGGAAAAUCGCUCUACUUUGUACUUGCACCUAGAUCAUACUGUUAUAUAAAGAAGACAGAGUCACAUAUGCUGAAAGAAACUCUGAAUACUUCCCCAGAAUUUUCGGACAAAAAAAUCAUGGAUGAAACACAAGGUCAAUUUUAAGCGGCUCGACAAAGUGGGCGAUCUAACUGGCGCAGAAGAAUGACUAGCACGGUACCGCAGAUUGGAGAUGAGCAUAUAGCGACAUAAAUUCAGCGUUUAAAGACAAAUCAGUUAAAAGUAAAUACUUUAUUUACAAACAUAUACACUAUUGAAAACCAUUUCAUAAUUUGGAUGAUAUAUUUAAGGGUGCAUGGUGUCCUAUGAUAGAGCGCCCGGCUCGA
rnacentral:lncRNA from 1 species